rnacentral:rRNA from 1 species
ACGGGUGCGUAACGCGUGGGAAUCUCGCCCUGGGUUCGGAAUAACAGCGAGAAAUUGCUGCUAAUACCGGAUGAUGACGAAAGUCCAAAGAUUUAUCGCCCAGGGAUGAGCCCGCGUAGGAUUAGCUAGUUGGUGAGGUAAGAGCUCACCAAGGCGACGAUCCUUAGCUGGUCUGAGAGGAUGAUCAGCCACACUGGGACUGAGACACGGCCCAGACUCCUACGGGAGGCAGCAGCC